GAUGAACGCUGGCGGCGUGCCUAAUACAUGCAAGUCGAGCGAACAGACGAGGAGCUUGCUCCUCUGACGUUAGCGGCGGACGGGUGAGUAACACGUGGAUAACCUACCUAUAAGACUGGGAUAACUUCGGGAAACCGGAGCUAAUACCGGAUAAUAUAUUGAACCGCAUGGUUCAAUAGUGAAAGACGGUUUUGCUGUCACUUAUAGAUGGAUCCGCGCCGCAUUAACUAGUUGGUAAGGUAACGGCUUACCAAGGCAACGAUGCGUAGCCGACCUGAGAGGGUGAUCGGCCACACUGGAACUGAGACACGGUCCAGACUCCUACGGGAGGCAGCAGUAGGGAAUCUUCCGCAAUGGGCGAAAGCCUGACGGAGCAACGCCGCGGGAGUGAUGAAGGUCUGCGGAUCGUAAAACUCUGUUAUUAGGAAGAACAAAUGUGUAAGUAACUAUGCACGUCUUGACGGUACCUAAUCAGAAAGCCACGGCUAACUACGUG
rnacentral:rRNA from 1 species